GACGAACCGUGCAAACGUUAUUCGGAAUCACUGGGCUUAAAGGGCGCGUAGGCGGAUUGCCAAGUCGGUGGUGAAAUCGUUCGGCCCAACCGGACAAGUGCCGCCGAUACUGGCAGUCUCGAGGGAGGUAGGGGUCGAGGGAACUGGUGGUGGAGCGGUGAAAUGCGUAGAUAUCACUAGGAACGCCGGUGGCGAAAGCGGUUUCCUGGCCGAGUACUGACGCUGAGGCACGAAAGCGUGGGGAGCGAACGGG
rnacentral:rRNA from 1 species